rnacentral:rRNA from 1 species
CCUCGGGGCGCACCAGUGAGGAAUAUUGCACAAUGGGGGGAACCCUGAUGCAGCAACGCCGCGUGGAGGAUGACGCAUUUCGGUGUGUAAACUCCUUUUAUAUGUCAAGAAAAUGACGGUAGCAUAUGAAUAAGCACCGGCUAACUCCGUGCCAGCAGCCGCGGUAAUACGGAGGGUGCAAGCGUUACUCGGAAUCACUGGGCGUAAAGGACGCGUAGGCGGGUUGGAAAGUCAGGUGUGAAAUCCUACAGCUUAACUGUAGAACUGCACUUGAAACUUCUAAUCUAGAGUAUGGGAGGGGGAGAUGGAAUUAGUGGUGUAGGGGUAAAAUCCGUAGAUAUCACUAGGAAUACCUAAAGCGAAGGCGAUCUCCUGGAACAUUACUGACGCUAAGGCGUGAAAGCGUGGGGAGCAAACAGGAUUAGAUACCCGAGUAGUC